UGGCCUCAGGCAAGCGGACUCAUUAAGUUCUCUGGGCCUCUCUUCCCUCAGAAAGGACUCUAACCCUGAUCACACUCAUCCUCUCCUCGCUGUGCCCCGUUUUAGAGGCUCAGUUUUGUCUCUCAUCUCUGGCCCCAAAGACUCUCAAAUUGGCCCUGGCUUCCUCUCUUUGCACCUGCGUGCCUGCUGUUCAAGGUCAGAAUUCACAUCCAUCACCUUGUAACUACUCCUGGCAGCAUAGGCCUCCUGGACCAGUGCUCCAGCCGGUGUUCCCUGGCCCUCCUGGAAGAGUGUGGGCAGCGAGCUACCACCAGCCUGGGGCCUCCUUGCACACCUCUUGUCGGGAACUGGGACAGGCACCAUCUUCAUGGUCCCACAUCAGAUAGCAAAAGUGUGUUGAAUGAACGAAUGAGAAAAAGCCAGAGGUUUGAAGAUGUCUGAAGCCAAGAUGCUCUUUCUAUAUAAAUGAAACAGUUGAAGGACAGAUUUUCUAAUGGAAAUGGCUACCCCCCCCCCAAAAUAUCUUUUUAUGGAGGGAUUUGUAAAAAGUUAACACACACACCUCUAAACAUUUUAACAUUUAAGCCCUACAAUAACAGGAAAAAAAAUCUGUUCUGGCUCUUGAUAUAUUAUAUCCUUAAAUAGUUCUAGAUUCAAAGAGCUUUCCUCAUUUAACCCUUAUAAUCACACUAUGAGGCAGAUGUUAUUUGCAUCCAUUGUACAGGAGAGGACACUGAGAUUCAGAGAAGGUGGGCGACUUGCCUGUGGGCACACAGCCCGUGGUUGGCAGAACACAGACAGUUACACCUGCAGCUGCUUCAAAUGGCAAGUCAUGCUCUUGACCUUGGUGUUCAGCUUGCGUAGUUCAGUGUUGGUUAAUUUUGUUUGUAUGACUAAGGCUGUUAAACGAUUUGGUUCCUUUUUUGUGUUUGUUUUCGAUCUUCGGGGAUUCUCUAAGGUUGAUCCAGGGCUCUGGCUGUCCCCACCUUUUUCCCUGCUUGGGAGUCUGGUUCCCCUGACAUCGACAUCAGCAAAAUCACCUGCUGGAGGAGGGUCUGCAGCUGGAAGCCUUCCCGGGCAUUGUGGUGGGCAACCAGCCGGCACCCUUUGUCACCAGACCUCCACCAGGACAAGCUCAGUGCUGAUUCCCAGGAGGGGCUUGGGGUAGGAAAAGAAAGGAUGUGUCUGAAAAGGAAACAAAUGUUCCAAGAUGCCCCCAUUCACCAGGAAAAGCUGGGGAGGUAAUUCACAGCACCCAGGGCCCCACAGUCCUGCAUUAUAAAGCCAUGUGUUAGGCUUCAGCAAGUAUUACCAAGAAAUACACAAAUAAUGUCAUGACCAAGACAUUUAGAUGACAAGCAUACUUAACGGAAACACCUCUUUCUUAACUCUGGACCCCCUGUGUGCAGCAGUCCAGGCGUCUCCUUUCAAGGAAUUAGGCCAUGUGCGGCACUGAGAGCGCUCCUGGGACCCUGCAGAGAGCCUCUGGGUAUAUUACGUGAUUUGAAACUGUAGCUGAGAAAAUCUGAUGAAGUGGUGUGACUCUCACAAGUCAAUCGUGAAUAUGCAAAAAAUAUAACUUAAUUUUUCUGUAUUUCUAGCCCUUCCUCUUUGGGAGUAGGACCAAUUAACCUCAGUCAUGUUGGACCUCCCCUGCCCUCUUUUCUCUGAGGUUCUGGUAAGUUCCAGGGGUGGGGUGAUGGUGAUGGGAAUUCCACAGUGCGAGGCUUCGGGAGAGGGGAUUCUCGUCUUCCAUGUCAUCUUCUCACACUGGCAGCAACUUGUGGCAUCAGCUGAAGCUGUCCCCUCUGACCCUCGGUCAAGCAUCUGCACAAUUUGCCCCAGGCUCUCCCCUGGUCUGUUGCCUCUUGGCUCCUCCCAAGGUCACUCACAAGCUCGUGGACACCAUUCAGCAGCUCCUGUCCAGAGCUAGGAACAGAAAACCCUGGGAGGUGGACAAAGAGCCUGUCCACCUGGACACACGGUACCAUUUCUCCUCCUAGAAGCCAUAACUUCUAGGUUUCGGAAUUUACACGCUUAUCUGGGAUUUCAAUGCCAACCUGAGGCUCGUGGUCUGGGGCACAGGUGACUCGGUUUCUUGUCCCCAGCGCCUGUCGAUCUAAGCACCACUUGCCUUCGCUCUCUCUCCAACCCAGGGCCCCAGGAAGGAGAGAAGGAAGCCCUGCCCUCACCAUAUUUUCCCUUCCCAUAUUUUCUGUCAAAUACGUUGUCAGUGCCCAAGUCCGUUCUGAUCCUCUACGGACCUGGGUUUACUUGGCUUUGAUUUGAGUUUUUAGGUGUCAUUUAUGUACAAUAAAAUGCAUGGUUCUUAAGUAUUCAGUUUGAACAAAAUAUAGAAAAUUUCCAUCAAUCCAGAAGAUUCCCUCACAAAAGAGCCCACAGUUUUGAAAAUCAAGAAAGCCCCAAAGGUCUCCCCCUAUUGUCCUCUUUCCCACUUGGCUACUUCCCUGUGCUGACAUAAGGAGCACACUGGCCUCGGUGCUGCCACCUAGAAGGGCCAAGGUCGGUAAGGAAACACUGGGGGAGAGGCCACGAGAUGAUAUUUUAAAGUAUGAUCCCCCAUAGGAAUCUUCCAACCACACAGAAUUAUCCUCGUCACAUCUCUGUGUACUUUACACUUUAGCAGGUGCUCUCACACCAAGUACCCUUGCGAUGCCCCUCAGGUACAGAUUAUCAUGUCUACACUGCAGACAAGAACACUGAAGCCUGGAGUGGAGAAGUGCUUUUCCAAGGCCUCACAGUGGGUGGGUGUCCAAGACGAGACAGGAUCCAGGCUCAUACCACGACAUUUCUGUUUCAGGGAGUCUGGUCAUUACGAGUCCCCAGAACAGAGAACAGACAAGGCAGUCACUGAUGCAGCAGAAUCUGAGGGGCUCCCAUGCCCCUGCCCAUAUCUAGAGCCCCCUCAAGUUCCCUAGGCCAGGGUUCCCUUCUUUUACUCUUCGCUAGUUCUUCCCGAGGAUGGAGGUUAAGACCAAGGAGAAUUGCCCUGUAGAGCACGCCAUGAAGACAGAGCCUGGCAGACUCUCCAGGCAGGAAGCGAGCACUGGAGUUGAUGCAGUCGAAGACAGUGAUCCAGCGCAUGGCGUGGGGAGCUGAUUCCGUGGGCCAAAUCUGGUCUUUCUCACUUACAAGCUGUGUGAUUCUGGACAAUUUACCAAACCUCUUUCUGCCUCAGUUUCCCCAUAGUUACAAAAAGAGAAGAUAAUAGAAUAUCGUGCAAAAGGGUUAUUGUGAGAAUUAAAUGAGCUAAUUCAGGUAAGAUAGGUCACUCUGUACCUGAUCCAGAGUCAGCACUAAUAAAUGCUAGUGGGUAUUAUUAUCGAAAGCAGGCUAUAAAAACAUGCAGACACCCAUAUUUCACUGUGUCAUUAACGCUGCAGAAAGACACGCGACUGUGUUGUAAUCCCCUUUGCUGGCAUGUUCAUUUUGGGAAGCCUUGGGGAAUAAGCCAACAUGGCUAGUUGGAAAUGUAAGCAGGAUUCCGUAGUCACGGGUAGAAGCCAGUGCUCCAUUCUCCGGCGAGAGGAGACCAAAGAUGAACGCUCAUGAAGGAAAGGGAUGUUGUCCCGCAGAAAGGCCCGAGUUAAACAGAACUGUGAGGUAAACCGGUGGUUUGAGGGCACUCAUUCCAGUAUCUCUUGCCAGGCAGGGUGACGUGAGGUGACAUAUGGCCAGAAUGAGCAGCUCGGCUGGGCGGGGUAUUCACCCAGGGCAGCUCUGAGUGGCCGCGGGGCCAGAUGGAGACAGGGAUUGUGACACAAGAAGGCCAAAGCCAGCCUGGUGCUCGGCGUGGGGCGGGGGAGCAGCCCACUGAACAGGGAGCCUUAGGGGGAGGCCAGGCGAGUUGUGCAGAAAUGGAGGGGACCCACGUUUGUGCGGUCUCAGGAGGGGCUUUGGGCCUGAUGGAGCCAAGCGAGGGCACAGGGCUCCACGUCUACCCUGGAACCCCAUGUUAGAAAGGAACUGAGUCGGGAGUCGCUCAGUCGGGAGUCGCUCAGUAGGAAUGGAAGUGAGGAGGACUGGUUUGAGGUUUCGGGAAUGGUUCUGUUUUGGCUUUUCUCUCCCUAAGAAAUUGGAAUCUGAAAGAGCCUCUCAGCUUACUGUUGGAAAUCAUCAGGACUAGAAAGACAAGAGGCCAAGAGAGAUUUCCACAAGUGUUAAACUCCUUGGAGCGAGGUGGAAGGAACGGCUGUAGGCAGAGCAGCUGACUUAGAAAAGAGGGAAAGGAAGACAAGCUUGUUAGAAGGCCACAGAGCCUGACUUUCCCUGUGGUCACACGUCAGGCUCCUCAUAACCUGACUCCUUUAUUCCCUGAAAGCUCAUGAUAACAGGGCCUAUGGCCCCUCAGGAGCGCCCAGUAAACACUGGUUCGAUGAAUGAACCCACGACCGGUCACCAAACCUACACACAUGAAUGUCACAAGAACUCCCCAGGCAGCUCACCAUUUAGCACUACAUGGACAGCAAUUCUCUAAAAUGUUUUCAUUUUAGCAUCACAAUUUCACUUUUUUCUUCCUCCUUUCACUUUAGUUUACUGUUUUAUGGUGUCUUUUUUUUUAAUUGCAGUAACAUUGGUUCAUAACAUUAUAUAAAUUUCAGGUGUACACCAUUAUAUUUUGAUUCCUGUAUAGACGACAUCAUGUUCGCUACCCAAAGACUAAUUACAAUCCAUCACCACACACCUGUGCCUAGCCACCCCUUUGACCCUCCUGCCUCCCCAAUUCUCUUUGGGUAACCACCAAUCCAAUCUUUGUUGCUAUGUGUUUGUCAUUGUUUUUAUCUUCUAUUUAUGAGUGAAAUCAUACGUGUUUGACUUUCUAUCUCUGAUUUAUUUCACUUAGCAUAAUACCCUCAACGUCCAUCCAUGUUGUUGCAAAUGGCCAGAUUUCAUCAUUUCUUGUGGCUGAGUGGUAUUCCAUUGUGUACAUAUACCACAUCUUCUUUAUCCGUUCGUCCCUUGAUGGACACAUAGGUUCCUUCCCAGUCUUGGCUAUUGUGAAUAAUGCUGUGAUGAACAUAUGGGUGCAUAUAUUUUUAUGCAUUCAUGUUUUUAUGUUCUUUGGAUAAAUACCCAGCAGUGGAAUAGCUAUAUUUUAUGGUAGUUCUAUUCCUUUUUUUUUUUUUUUUAAUUCCUUAUGACUUUUUCUUCUUCUCCCCAAAGUCCCCCAGUACAUAGUGGUAUAUUCUAGUUGUAGGUCCUUCUGGCUCUGCUAUGUGGGACACAGCCUCAGCAUGGCUUGCUGAGUGGUGCCAUGUCCGUGCCCAGGAUCCAAAACGGCAAAACGCUGGGCCGCUGAAACAGAGUACGAAAGCUUAACCACUCAGCCAUGGGGUCGGCCUCUGGUAGUUCUAUUCUUAAUUUUUUGAGGAAUCUCCAAACUGUUUUCCAUAAUUACUGCACCAGUUUGCAUUCCCACCAGCAGUGUACGAGGGUUCCCUUCUCUCCACAUCCUCUCCAACAACUUCUUGUUUCCUGUCUUGUUAAUUAUAACCAUUCUGACGGGAGUGAGGUGAUAUCUCAUUGUAGUUUUGAUUUGCAUUUCCCUGAUAGUUAAUGAUGUUGAACAUCUUUUCAUGUGCCUGUUUGCCAUCUGUAUAUCUUUUUGGAGAAAUAUCUGCCCAUUUUUUAAUUGGGUUGUUAGGUUUUUCGUUGUUGAGGGGUAUGAGCUUUUUGUAUAUUUUGGAUAUUAACCCCUUAUCAGAUAUAUGGUUUGCAAAUAUCGUCACCCCAAUUGUUAGGUUGUCUUUUCGUUUUGUUGAUGGUUUCCUUUGCUGUGCAGAAGCUUUUUAGUUUGACAUAGUCCCAUUUGUUUAUUUUUUUCUAUUAUUUCCCUUGCCUGGUCAGACAUGGUCCUUGAAAAUAUGCUGCCAACACCAAUGUCAAAGAGCAUACUGCCUAUGUUUUUUUCUAGAAGUUUAAUGAUUUCAGGUCUUACAUUCAAGUCUUUAAUCCAUUUUGAGGUAAUGUUUGUGCAUGGUGUAAGAUAAUGGUCUACUUUGGUUCUUUUGCAUGUGGCUGUCCAGUUUUCCCAACACCAUUUAUUGAAGAGGCUUUCCUUUCUCCACUGUAUGCUCUUGGCUCCCUUGUUGAAAAUUAGCUGUCUGUAGAUGUGUGGGUUUAUUUCUGGGCUCUCGAUUCUGUUCUAUUGAUCUGUGUGUCUGUUUUUGUGCCAGUAACAUGCUGUCUUGGUUACUAUAGCUUUGUAGUAUAUUUUGAAAUCAGGGAGUGUGAUGUCUACAGCUUUGUUCUUUUUUCUCAGGAUUCCUUCGGCUAUUGGGGGUCUUUUGUUGUUCCAUAUAAAUUUUAGGAUACUUUGUUCUAUUUCUGUGAAAAUUGUUGGAACUUUGAUAGAGAUUGCAUUGAAUCUAUAGAUUGCUUUAGGAAGGAUGGACAUUUUAACUAUGUUAAUUCUUCCAAUUCAAGUGCACAGAAUAUCUUUCCAUUUCUUUGUGUCUUCUUGAAUUUCUUUCAACAGUGUUUUAUAGUUGAAACAGUGUUUCAACAGUGUACGGCUCUUUCACCUCUUUGGUUAAGUUCAUUCCCAGGUAUUUUAUUCUUUUUGUUGCGGUUGUAAAUGGCUAUCGUGUCUUAGAGCAUCAUGCAGUUCCAUGGAUGAGCAGCACACAGGAUUGAGAAGCAAUUCCCCCAAGAAGCAGGAGGGUGAUAAUAAGAACUCAGACCCAUGUGACACUUGACAGUUCACACAGUGCUUUUGUGGCAAUCCCAGUGUUUUCAGCUUUGGAGGAGACUGAAACGAAGGACAUGGAAAAGAAUGUCGUUGUCUCGGAGACACAAAAGUGACCGGAGAAAUGUAUCUAGAAAUGAAACUAGGGCUAAGUGCAAGUCUGUGACUCCGCCCCAUCUUCACCUGACGUUUCUAACCCAGGUCAGAGGAUGAUGCACAUUCUCCACCAACAGCUGCAGAAGGGAAACAAUCAAAGGAAGGAGUGGGGAGGGAAGCAGCUCACACCUACACAAGUGUCUCCAGCGGUUCUUUAAAAGGAGGUGAGUUGGGACUGAGAUUUCUCCCGAGCACCAGAGACUCAGACCAGCCAGACGGGCACCACAGAAAGACUCAGUGAUCUGGUCCCCUCUCGGCCAGUGACCUUGCCGGGGGUGGUGAGUGAGGCCACCGCCUGACCACCUGGACCUUCGCUGACUGCAUUUGGAAAAUAGUCUCUCUUUCUUUACAGAGUGGGGAGAGUUAAUUCAUGUUUGCAAAGACCUUUCCAAUCCUUGUAAAAAGGUUCUCUGCCAGCUCUAAUUAUCUGGGAUAUCAGCUGAGACUCAGUUCUCUCUUGGCACAGCAUCUCUGCCCCGGAAGAUGGCAAAUGAGAUUGCUGCUUGGCUGCUGUCAGGAUCAGCCGUCACCAUUGAGCAUCCAGCUGGUGUGGUUGUGUAUCUCUGUAUCCAGUUUACUGCCCAGGUUCCAAACCUCUGCGGGGAGAUGGUGACACUAGACAUGCACUCCUACCCCCUCCCACCCCAUGAGGAGGCAGCUGCCUAUGGGGUACAAUUCAAGAAGCUCCUAAAAGGCCUCCCACAGCCAAACUCAACUCCUCCAUUCCUUCUCAGGAACUGGAAAUCCCUCCACUAAAAAUCCAGUCUUGGGGCCAGCCCAGUGGCGCAGUGGUUAAGUUUGCACAUUCCACUUUGGUGGCCCAGGGUUCGCCGGUUCGGAUCCCGGGUGUGGACAUGGCACUGCUUGGCAAGCCAUGCUGCGGCAGGCGUCCCACAUAUAAAGUAGAGGAAGAUGGGCACGGAUGUUAGCUCAGGGCCAGUCUUCCUCAGCAAAAAGAGGAGGAUUGGCAGCAGAUGUUAGCUCAGGGCUAAUCUUCCUGAAAAAAAACCAAAAUCCACUCCUUUGGGGUGAAGGGGAACAUUUAUAUGAUGACAGACAAAUAAUAAUGCACAACUGAAAUUUCCCAAUGUUGUAAAGUAUUAUGACCUCAAAAAUAGCUUUUUUAAUAAAUAAAUAAAUAAAAUCCACUCCUUUUGGUGUUGGAUGUUUUUCCUAAGAGUGCAGUCAUGUGGAAAGACAAUCCAGCCAGGAGUCAGAAUACCCAGCUCUGGGUUCCCUCCCCUUGGUUCAGUACCGGCUCUGCUCUUUCUAGCCUGGUGACCUGGGAUAAACCCACUCUCUUCCUCUCUCAUUUUUUUUCCGUCUAAAAUGGCACCGCUAAUGCCUAUCUCGCAGGGCUGCUUGAGGAUCAGGCGAGAUAAUGGAUGUGAAAGCCAAGCGUGGCAGAAAUGUAAGAAGCAUUAUUAUUACUAAAAUGCUGGUCUGCCUGGGCUGGCUAAUCCCUACUGGGGAUUAAUUGAUGGCUCUCAGGACUAGGCAGCCUCCUGGGGCGGCAGAAGAGAAGAGCCAGGGGGACCACAGAGGGGAGGAAGACGCCGGAAGAGGAGAAGGGAGGGACCCUCUACUGCUGGGAGCACCUGUGGGAGCAGCCGUGCUCCCACAUCAGCUUCUGCACCCUGCCCCUCUAUUGCCCAAAGAUGUGACGACUAGGGGGUCAUUGCUCAGCUAAAAAGCCAUUGGGAAAAAUAACCGAAUGUGCCUGGUCUACACAGACACAUCACUCAGGUAAUUCUGGCAAAAAGGCCCAGUUUUGGCAUGAGUAGCCUACAUGCGUCAGACCAGAGUAAUUGCUUUCUUUGUCAGAAUUUCCUGGAUCACCUCCUCCCCUUUGUUUGGCUGAAAGAACCAGCCUCCCAUGUGGGAGCCUGCUUGCCAAACAUUAUUGCAUCCUUAGAGAUGAAAGGCACCGCGUGAGCGAUUUUCCAUAAGGUGUCGGCACAUGUGUUAAGUGUUACAAGGGGGAAACGCACCCAUGGGUUUCAUCUGGGAGGAUGACGUGGUAGAGGAGAUGUGGGGAGGGGGAGACCCAACCACAAGAGGAGCUGCUUCUCAGGACCUGCGGGGAUCCGGGCUCUGUUCAGGGCAUUUUGCAUUAAAAAUCUCCUUUAAUCCUCACAACAGCCCUCUGAGGCAGCAUCCAGGAAUGGAAAGAACUUGAGUUGAGAAGCCAAACAUUAAUAGAUUUGGCUCCCUAGCCUGCCGUUUACUGUGUGAACUGGGCAAGCUGCUUGAUGGUGGGAGCUUCAGUCUUCUAUCUGUUGAAUGCAACUGAUGAUGGUGGCCUCGGAGUGUGAGGAGGGAGAGUUCCGUGUAUGACGAUGAAGCCCCUGCCAGGCACACAGCAGGCAUCGAGAAGUGGUGUUCUAGUGUCGUUCUUCACGGAUAAGGAUGCCGACGAGCAAGCAGCUUAGGAGCCCACCGAUGUCACACUGCCGUCAAUAACAGAGCCGGAUCCGGCUCCCUCCACAGGUGUUUGCUUGGAGGCAGUUUAAGGCGGACCCUUCACAGCCUCUCCCACAGGGUUCCAUUUGAGUCUCACCUCCAGCGUUUGUGCGCAGGUUGCAGGCACGAUCAUGUGUUGUUCUGUAGCCACAGCACUCCUCACACAGCGCCUCGCACGCCGUAGUUACUUAGAAAUGUUUGUUAAAAGAGUGGAAGAAUUAAGAAGAGCCCAGAAUAGAUGGACAGAGCUGAGUCUAGGUAGCUGUGUAACAGGUAUCCACCACAUGCCUGAUAACUUGGAGUUGGGACAUGCGGUCCCCUCACGCUGCAUGAGAGUAGUGUGGACACUUUCUGACGCCCAUCUUCAUUAUAGGAAGAGGGACAGCCCUCGGAGGAGAAUCUGUCAGAGGUAACAGAAAUUACCUCAAACAGAAAUGGCACAAACUGGGGACCCAAUGACGAAAAAACAUUGGGAAGAUAAAAUGGAAUCAUGGGCAGGAACAUGCUUUGAAAAUGCUGGAGCCUAUGAAAAGGAAAAGGAUCACCACUUACGUGAACAACAGAAUCCUGGAAGCACACAGCAGGCCCCCCUCAUUCGCGGUUUUGCUUUCCACAGUUUCAGUUAGCCAUGGUCACCCAAGAUCUGAAAAAAAACUAUGUCAUGAUGCCUCCAUCACUCACCUCACUUUAUUUCAUCAGUAGGCAUCGUAUCAUCUCACGUCAUCCAAGAAGAAGGUGAGCACAGUACAAUAAGAUAUUUUGAGAGAGACAGAGCCCACAUCCACAUAACUUGUAUUAUAGUAUAUUGUUAGAAUUGUUCUAUUUUGUUCUUGUUGUUAAUCUCUUACUGUGCCUAAUUUAUAAAUAAACUUUAUCAUAGGUAUGUGAGUAUAGGAAAAAUCAUAGUAUAUAUGGGGUUUGGUACCACUGGCGGUCUCGGGCAUCCACUGGGGGUCUUGGAAGGUAUGCCCUGCACAUAACGGGUGACUUCUGUAGUUAGUGGGUUCUUGUUUGAGAUUCCCUGGGUUGUAGUGAGAAUAUAGGAAAGACAAAGGCCAGGCAGAAUACUCCGAAGAUUGUGGGUUUAGAAGAAUGAAACCAGGAAUGGCACCCUCUCCCCUCCCCCAACUGUUUUCUGCACACAGCUCAGGACCUGAGGCCACAGGAAGCAGUGCCCUUGACUCCCAGAGGAAUGAAGGUGCACUGACAGCAAACCCUCCAGUUAACUACAGAGGGGCAGGCGUGAUGGGGGCUCCAGCCUCCUGGCCAAGUCCACGCUUACUGUGAGCCACCAUCUUUCUGCUGAAAGGCCAAGCCCUGGCACGCAGGCUUUGAGAAGCUGGGGGGCCCCGCCCCCGCCGGCAGUCCGCCUCAGCCCAGCCUGUCUGGCCUGGCACAGGGGUGGCACAGGCCAGGUGCCUGUAAUUACAGACUGGAAUGAACCGGAAGCUGAGAGCUUUUGAGGGCAGGGGCUGAGGCUGAUGUUCUUUGCUGCCUCCGAACCGUGACCACAGCAGGCCUCAUAAGGAGCUGUUGAUUUGAGCUCCUGCAGACUGAAGGCAAGGUCUGUGCCUCCAGGCAAAGCAUCAGCUCCUGCCCCGUGACACGGCUCACCCCUCAGAGGUCUUGGCCCUGGCCUGCUGGGAGAAGCCACGCAGCUCCCAACAAUUGCUGCGGGCCCUCAGAGCGGCUAAUUAGGGUCGUGCCAGGCCAACUGCAACCUGCCAUCAGGAGCUCCUGGCCGGCUUCCUAUUCCCUCUGGGACUCUGCCAUCUCCCUCAUAGGUGAGGUUUGACUUUCUUGAUCUGCAUAAACAAGAAUUCUGUCUUAUUCAAACAUCAGCAAUGAAUUAAAGAAUGUCCUCUGUACAAUGUGUUUGCAUGAUAGAGUUAGAAAAGACACAUACGUCCGCUGAAGUCGAGGAGUCACGCCCCGAGUGGGGAGGUGGCAGAAAACAGGUAAAUGGCAGCCAACAUAGUGAUGUGAACGUGCGUGCUGGCCGAGGAGGGCUUCCUGGGCGAAGUCGUUCAGGAACGGGGCCUGGAAGGGCAGGUGAACAGGAAAUGCAAGAGGACACACUGAGCUGGCAUUUUCCCCCUGUGAUGGUAAUCUCAUGUGUCAGCUUGACUGGGCUGAAGGAUGCCGGAAAGCUGGUAAACAUUACUUCCGGGUGUGUCUGUGAGGGGGUCCCAGGACAGAUUAGCACUUGAAUCAGUAGGCUGAGUAAAGAAGAUGCCCUCGCCAAUGCAGGUGGGCUUCAUUCAAUCCUCUGCGGGCCUGAAUAGAACAAAAAGGCAGAGGAAGGGCAAAUUCAAUCUCUUUGUUUGAGCUGGAUGUUCAUCGUCUCUUGCCCUUGGACAUCAGUGCUCCUGCUCCUCGGGCCUUCAGACUUGGACUGAGAAUUGUGCCAUCGGCUCCCGGGUCUCAGGCCUUCAGCCACCGACUGAGUUACACCACUGGCUUUCCUGGGUCUUCAGCUCGCGGACGGCAGAUUGGGGACUUCUCAGCGUCCAUAAUUGUGUGAGCCAAUUUGUAUAGUAAAUGUCCUCUAAAAAUAUCUCUAUCUCUAUCUAUCUAUCUAUCUAUCUAUCUAUCAUCUAUCCUGUCGGUCUGUUUCUCUGGAGAAUCCUGACCAAUACACCCCUAUUCAGGUGGCACAAAUUUAAAAGUAUGACAACGCCAAGUGCUGGAGAAAAUGUACCCAGAGGUUCUCUGUCUCCUGGUGGGGGUCUAUACAGUUGAACAGCUCCCAGAGGGACAGUCGCAUCCUCCAUGACCCAGCAAUUCCAUUUCCUGGCCUAUCCUGAAGAAAAACUUUCAUGCAUGUACAAAAAUGACCAUAUCAGGACUGUUCAAAUGCUCACCAACGGAGACUGGGUAAACAGACUGAGGCGUAUUCACACCGUGGGGUAUCAUCCGGCAGUCAAAAUAAAGGGACUAGAGUGACAGGUAACAAUAUGGAUGAUGCUAAUAAACAAUAAUUUUAAGUGAGAAAAGUAAGUCCUUACAGCAUGAUACCCUCUUAAAGAAGGUAAAGACAAUUAAAAUUUAACGGAUACAUUUUAGGAAUACAUAGUGAAGAGAUAAAUACAUAUGGAUAAUGUCAGAUGAUACAAGCAGGAAAAUAAGAAUGCACAAAGGAUUCAGGAUGGUGUUUACUUAGUAGAAGGGAAGGAAGGGGGUGUAAUGGGGUGGAUCUUUUAUUACUUUAAAAUGUGAUAUACAACAUAGGGAGGGAGCAGGAGAGGGCCAUGCAUGGACCAAUAAUAAAAAUAUAUGGUGAGCCAAGGAUUAUGAUUUAGCCAAUUUUGUGUACCCGAGGUCCAUUAGACUUUUUUAAGUGGUGGAGCAUUUGAGGAAAGGAGAAUGUCAUGAGCAAAGGGAUGGGUAUGUUUUGGGGACAAUAAAGGACCCAGACUUGCUGAUGCCAAGGGUGACUCGAGAGUCCCUCAGGUCAGCAGCUGAGGUGUAGGUGCUUGGAACCACUGGACCCACGCCCAGAGUACCGAGGGCCCAGACCUUAGCCUUGCCUUUCAGAAUCAGAGUGUUGGAUGGCUUCAUCCCCCAGAGGAGAACAGAGGCUGGGUGUACGCAGGAGGAGUCGGUGGCUGUGGUCCAGCACUGUCGUACUAGGGCAUUGCCUCCUAUUGCAGCAAUUUGCUCAUCCCUAAUUGGCACCUCUGAAUUGACAUACCUUUCACUAGAACGACAGAAGUAUUCUAACCCUGGAGCAGAUCCUAGUCUUAGACUCCACCCAGGUUCUAGAACAUUGGCCUGGUUGCUGUGAAGGAGGUGGGGCCUUGGAUUCACAAUCGCUGGGCAUUGUUCUGUCAGAGUUCUUGUCCUGGUUCCGAGGCGCCCAUCCUGGUGGCCUCCAGGACCUGCUCUGGUCUCUCAGCUCAGUUUACCUCAGAGUACGCAAGAACCUCAGGAUGCUCCACACCUCUCCUGCCUCUACAAAUGUAUAAACACCCCCACGCAGCCUCACCUCCUUCCUACGCUGCUAGGAGGGUGCAGCCCCGCUCAGCUCCUAGGCAAGCCCUCCUUCUGCCCUUGACCACACCCUCUCCCAGCUUCUUGCUGCGUGAGCCUUUCUCUGUAUCUUCAAGCUCUCUCCUCUGGCUCUCCUCCCCUCCCUGAGCCUUGACACACGCUCAGGUGUCCACCAACCUGAGAAAGUAAACUUCCCCUAAACCCUUCAUAGUUAUCACCCAACCUCUCCUUCCCUUUUCAUUUAAACCUCUUGAAAGAAAAGCCUACACUCACUGUCUUCACUUUGGUUCUCCCUUCUUCAUUACCCCAUUACUUGCAAUCUGGACUUUACCACCCACCCACUCCCAGCUCCCUAGAACAGUUCUGAGUUCACCAGGGUCCUUUUAAUUGCCGAAUAUAAUAGAACCUUUUUUUCAGUUCUUCUCUUUCCAGCCGACUCUACUAUGUGCUCUCUUGUGACUCUCUCCUUCUUGAAACUCACUGCUCCACUGGUUUCCAUGGUCUCUCUUGGCCUUCCUCUUUAAUCUUGGACUGUUUCUUCUUGGAUUCCUUUGUAUUUGCCCUGAAAUGUUGAAGGGUCUGUCUUUGGCCCCCUCGUCUUCCCUUCUUCUACUCGCUCUCCCUGGAUAAUUCAACUCUUGGUUGAUUCGACCACCAAAUAUUUGCUGAUGGUUCUCAGAUCUGUAUCUACAGAUGACAUCCUCCUUCUAACACCCAACUUCCUUUAGUCAUCACCACCUGGACAACCUGCUGUCACUUUAAGCCCACAGGUCAAAAAUUCAUCACCUUCCCCCCAAAUUUGUGUUUCCUCACUGAGUGGGCACCACCAUCGUCCCAUCCAAUCUGGAUUUCACUCUUGAUUUCUUCUUCCUUCUCACCUCCCCCCAUUACUGAAUCAAUCACCCAGUCUUGUUGAUUUUACUUCCUAAAUAUUCCUCCUCUCCAGUCCCACCAUGACCCUAAUUUGGGCUCUAGCUAUUCUGUUGAAGUGGCCUCCUUAUCUCUGUAUCCUCCUCGAAGUCAUCCUCCCCCAAGUAGCCAGAACAUUGUUUCUUCAGCCCAGGCUCUGGCCAUACCACUCUCCUGCCCCUAAUCCUAAGAGAAAUUCCAGGUCCUGCACAAGACAAAGACAUCCCCAGUGGUCUUCCCAUUCUCUCACCGCUGCCUUCUUCCUGCUCUACCAUCCUCCAAAGCAGAGCUACUCUUCACAGCUGUCCACUCCAUCUCACACGCUCAUCUUCUUGUUGGUACUGGGCUCCUGGGGUGCUUGCUCACCCUCACAACCUAGACCACUGCAACUCAUCCUCCAGCCUGGCUCUACCUCCUCCAGGGCACACUUCCUGGCUCCCCAGGCCAGGUGGGUCCCCAGCCCUCAUCCCUGGAUGAGUCUCCAUCACCCUACUUUUCACAUUAUGUUAUAUUUGCUUGACUACACAUCUAUUUCCCUCACUGGAUUUGGUCAGGGGCAAGGCGUUAUUCAUCUUUCUAUACUGGGGCCCCACCACAAGACCUAGUUCAGCCAGUGUUUCCUAAAUAAAAGAAUGAAUGACCUUGUGAGUCCCCUUCCAGCUCUGAGGAUUUUUGUUUCUCUGUUGACUUUAGAAAUUGGUGGGGCUGGCCCGGCAGCACAGCGGUUAAGUUUACACGCUCCGCUUCGGCGGCCCUGGACUCGCCGGUUCGGAUCCCGGGUGCGGACAUGGCACCACUUGGCAAGCCACGCUGUGGUAGGCAUCCCACAUAUAAAGUAGAGAGGAAGAUGGGCACAGAUGUUAGCUCAGGGCCAUCCUUCCUCAGCAAAAAGAGGAGGAUUGGCAGCAGAUGUUAGCUCAGGGCUAAUCUUCCUCAAAAAAAAAAAAGAAAGAAAUUGGUAAACUUUGAACUUCAAAGGAAGCAGGAGAGAAGUAAAGAAGAUGCAGAAAUGAAGUAUGAACUGGAAUGCAUGCUCUGUAAUUCUCAGCCCUGCUCUUGAAGAGCUUCCAUCCUAAGUAGUGUGUGGUGCACGAAGCACUCCCUUCUGAGGGAAAAGCAGCGGAGGGAAAACCAAGUUCAGCUCUGACCCUCCUUUAAGACCUUUCGAAAAAGGUGUUCCUUCUUUUGGCUUCUGUCUUCCACGUAUAAAAUGGAAGUAGCAUUUCCAUUUGGAAUUUAUUUACUGAGCAGACAUUUCUCAUACAUAAGUGGUUCCCUAUCUCAUGCCGUGUAUGGCAAUACAUUUCCAAUAUGGCAGCAAGCAAAACGCAAAAAGCAUUAAAAAGAAGAAAACACAACUGCAUAUUGAUUCUAGCAAUGGAGCAAAGAAAUUUCUAGCUCUUGACAUACUGAGGCUGUCAUCAUACAAGAUAGAUAGGUUUGAAUAAGUAAAUCUUUGUACAAAAAAAUUCUACAAAAUAUAUAUUAAAAGGAAAACAAUAGAAUGGGGAAAAUAUGUCAUCAAUAUAACUGCAAAGAGCUUAUUAACAAAAUUAUUAAAAUUGGUAGAAGUGCAUAAUGUACCCACCUAGAUGGCCCUCCAAGAAGUGAGCAGAGAGCCAUCCAGGUGAUGUACUCAGGAGCCACUGUCACAGCCCCAGGGAGCCACAGUGUGACCCGGAGAGAGCCUCAGAUUAGUAAUGAGUCAGAGUCCACACAUUCAACUUACUUAAUGAGCCUGUGUCUGUCCUUUCAUGUGGAAAAUGGAUAUAAUUAUACCUACUUUUCAGGAUUCUUCUGAGGAUAAAUUAGAGGGCCUGUCACUACAGUGAGCAUUCAAGAAAUGGGAUUAUUAUCAUUAUCAGAGGGUAAAGAUGCACAGCAUUACUGGCAAUUAAAGAUAUGGAAAUUAUGACAAAUUAAAGGUAGCAUGAUGUAUCUAUUGGAGUAACAAAAAGAUACCCAAAUUCACAAAAAGGCUUGCACGAGAAUAUUCAUAGCAGCUUUAUCCAUAAUUUGCAAAUCCUGGAAAGAGCCCAGGCGUCCAUGAGUGGAUAAACAACUUGUGGUAUAUUCAUACAAUGGAAUACUUCUCAGCAGUAAAAGGAACGACUCACCCAUACAUGCAAUAAGGUGGAUGGAUCGGAAAAUCAUCACACUGAGCAAAAGAGGCCUCUCACAAAAGAUUUCAAACCAUAUGAUUGCAUUUAUAUGAAAUUCCAGAACUCUAGAAGAAACUUACCUAUGGUAGAAAAAAUCAAAAUAGUGAUUGCUUUCGGAGGAUGGGGUCAGGGAUUGACCAAGAAGGGGCAUGAGGGAAUUUUCUGGAAUAACAGAACUGUUCUAUAUCAUGAUAGGGGAUUGCAUGUGCAUUUGUCAAAACACAGAAAAGGCACACUUACAAUCUGUGCAUUUCAUUAUAUGUAAGAUUUAUCUCAAAAGGGAAAACUAUAAAUAAAUAUUGAACUCUGGUUAAUAACGUGCAUGCUGAAGUAUUUGAGGGGAGUGUACCGGUGUCUGCAAUUUACUUUGAAAUAUAUAAAAAGCAAGAUGAAUUCUUGGGUGGCUAGAUGGGUGGAUAUGAGAUAAAGCAAAUACAGUGAAAUCUUAAAGGUGGAAUCCAGGUGGUGAGUGUUCACUGUAAAAUUAUUUCAACUUCUCUGCAUGUUUGAAAUUUUUCAUAAUAAAAUAUUAGGACAAAAAAGAACUCAUAUUUGUAGGAAUCCUGAACUCAUUCUACAUGGUGGCCUUGGAAAUAUUGUAUUGAUCUUUCUGUGGAACAUUUGGGCCAUAUGUACACAUUUUGACCCAUUAAUUCCUCUUUGGGUAAUAUGGCCCAAAGAACUGUAAAGAUUUUCCCUUCUCUAUACUCAUCAGAGAGCUGGGCCUAGAAAACGGACUAGUAUGGACGGGUUAGGUGGAUAAAUCCAUGAGUUUCUGGAGAUACAGGAGAAGGAUCAUUUGUGAGAAAGAUGCAACCACCUGAAGAGCAGAUUCAGCCUCUUCAUUCUCUGCCUUCUGCCUGCAGGUCAGAUGAGACUGACCAAGUAGCCAGAUGUGUUUUAAACAGAUCACUCAGCAUUGUUCUACCACAAACAGCUACUAUUUGUUGACUGUCUACUACCUCCAGCCCCUUGAUGUUCACCAUCUGAUGCUCUCAACAAUCCUACAAAGUAAGGAUCACCAUCCUCACCUGCAGAUAAAGAGAGUGAGGCUCAGGGAGGGUGAGUGGUUUGUCGAAGGCCAUGCACCUAAUGAGAGUUUGAAUCAAGUCUGUCCAAUUUACAGCUUACCCUCUUUCCACUCUGUCAAGCUGUGUUUGAAGAAUUCAAAUGAUUUUGGCCUAACUAGGAUUGCUCCUAAAGGAACCAGAGAUGUCUGUCAUCCUGAAACAAAACAGUAGACAGUGAAAGACUGAAUGGUACAUCUUCUCGGCUCUCGGGUAAGGUGUCUGAUGGAAGCUCCACACUUUAUAGGUUCAGGGGCCAUCGCAGGAUCCUGUUGGAAUAAGGCCAUAGGGGGAACAGGGAGGCAGCCUCCGCUGGCUGACUCACCGAUACCAUGAUUCCAUGCUCACUUUCCAGGUCAAACUGUGCCAAUCUGAGGCCUAAGCUCAAACUGCCUUCAACUCUUCUCACUUGUGUCUUUCGCCAGCUCAGCAAAGAGGAACUAGGAGAGAGGAAAGAGGCACAGGCUGACGCUCUAUCACUCCUCCCCUCUGAGAACAUCGCUCUGUUUGUGAGCACCUCUCCAGCCCUCCUCCUAGCCUGUUUCCUGAUUAGCA
rnacentral:lncRNA from 1 species